rnacentral:rRNA from 1 species
AGGAAAAUCGGACUUAGUGAUCCGGGGGUUCUGCGUGGAAGGGCCAUCGCUCAACGGAUAAAAGCUACCCGGGGGAUAACAGGCUUAUCUCCCCCAAGAGUCAACAUCGACGGGGAGGUUUGGCACCUCGAUGUCGGCUCAUCACAUCCUGGGGCUGUAGUAGGUCCCAAGGGUUGGGCUGUUCGCCCAUUAAAGUGGUACGCGAGCUGGGUUCAGAACGUCGUUAGACCAUUCGGCCCCUAUCCCUCGCAGGCGUAUGAAGUUUGAGAAGACCUGUACUUAGUACGAGAGGACCGGGAUGGACGUACCUCUGGUGUUCCCGUUGUACUGCCCAGGGCAUGGCUGAGUCACUAUGUACGGCAUGGAUAAGCUCUGAAAUCGUCUCAGCGCGCAUCCACAUUUCUGAUAACAGUUACCACA